CACAUGCAAGUCGAGCGGAAACGAUGAUAGCUUGCUAUCAGGCGUCGAGCGGCGGAUGGGGGUGAAAUACUUAGGAAUCUGCCCAGUAGUGGGGGAUAGCUUGGGGAAACUCGAAUUAAUACCGCAUACACCCUACGGGGAAAAGGGGGCGCUUGCGCUCUCGCUAUUGGAUGAGCCUAAGUCGGAUUAGCUAGUUGGUGGGGUAAAGGCCUACCAAGGCGACGAUCUGUAGCUGGUCUGAGAGGAUGAUCAGCCACACCGGAACUGAGACACGGCCCGGACUCCUACGGGAGGCAGCAGUGGGGAAUAUUGGACAAUGGGGGCAACCCUGAUCCAGCCAUGCCGCGUGUGUGAAGAAGGCCUUUUGGUUGUAAAGCACUUUAAGCAGUGAAGAAGACUCUAUGGUUAAUACCCAUAGACGAUGACAUUAGCUGCAGAAUAAGCACCGGCUAACUCUGUGCCAGCAGCCGCGGUAAUACAGAGGGUGCAAGCGUUAAUCGGAAUUACUGGGCGUAAAGCGAGCGUAGGUGGCUUAAUAAGUUAGAUGUGAAAUCCCCGGGCUUAACCUGGGAACUGCAUCUGAUACUGUUACGCUAGAGUAGGUGAGAGGGAGGUAGAAUUUCAGGUGUAGCGGUGAAAUGCGUAGAGAUCUGAAGGAAUACCGAUGGCGAAGGCAGCCUC
rnacentral:rRNA from 1 species